rnacentral:lncRNA from 1 species
AUAGACCUCCCACCUGUCCCUCUGGGGGCUUACUGGUCUCUUUAGGGUUCAUACUGGUCCUGACGGGGCCAUACUGGUCCCAGGUGCCCCUGUCCUUGUGGGCGUCCCCUUUCUGACCCCAAAGUCCCCAUCCUGUCCCCGAUGUCCCCACCCCAGUGUCCCCAUUCCUGCCCCAGUUGGCGUCCCCAACCCAUCCCAUUCCCAGUGUCCCACCCCAGUGUCCCCAUUCCCGCCCCAGUUGGCGUCCCCAGUGUCCCACCCCAGUGUCCCCAUUCCCGGCCCCGUGGGCGUCCCCGUCCCGGCCCCGAUGUCCCCGUCCCCAGGCGUGGGUGCGGACCGGCCCCGCCGGCUCAGCCGGUGCCAGGACGUGCGGGGACACGUUGGGGACAUUUUGGGGACACGUGUGGCCAUGGGGACACCUUGGGGACAUUUUGGGGUCAUUUUGGGGACAUUUUGGGGACAUUCUGGGGACACAUGCGGCCAUGGGGACACUUUGGGGACAUUUUAGGGACAUUUUGGGGACAGUUUGGGGCCAUGGGGACACAUUGGGGACAUUUGGGGACAUUUUGGGGACAUUUGGGGGACACGUUGGGGACAUUUUGGGGCCAUGGGGACACGUUGGGGUCAUUUUGGGGACAUUUUGGGGACAUGUGUGGCCAUGGGGACACCUUGGGGACAUUUUGGGACAUUUGGGGGACAUUUGGGGGACACGUUGGGGACAUUUUGGGGCCAUGGGGACACAUUGGGGUCAUUUUGGGGUCAUUUUGGGGACAUUUUGGGGACACGUGUGGUCAUAGGGACACACUGGGGACAUUUGGGGACAUUUUUGGGGAUAUUUUGGGGACAUUUUGGGGCCAUGGGGACACAUUGGGGACAUUUUGGGGUCAUUUUGGGGACAUGUUGGGGACACCUUGGGGACACCUUGGGGACAUUUUGGGGACAUUUUGGGGACACACUGGGGACAUUUUGGGGACACGUGUGGUCAUAGGGACACACUGGGGACAUUUUGGGGACAUUUGGGGGACAUGUUGGGGACAUUUUGGGGCCAUGGGGACACAUUGGGGACAUUUUGGGGUCAUUUUGGGGACAUUUUGGGGACAUUUUGGGGACACGUAUGGCCAUAGGGACACCUUGGGGACACUUAGGGACAUUUGGGGACAUUUUGGAGACACAUGUGGCCAUGGGGACACCUUGGGGAUAUUUGGGGACAUUUUGGGGACAUUUGGGGACAUUUUGGGGACACGGACGAGGCGGGCUCCGAGCUCCAAGGCCUUUAUUGGGGCACAUGAACGGGGCCGGGGGGGGGGGCUCGGGGUGCCCCCUACUCAUCGCAGCCCCCGCAGCCGGACUGGGUUUGGUCGGAUCCCGCCCCCGAUCCCCCCCCAGAUCCCCCCCCGGAUCCCCCCUGGGAUCCCCCCUGGGAUCCCCCCCGGGAUCCCGAGCUGUAGGUCCCGCUCCCCGAUCCCGAUCCCGAUCCCGUUCCUGCUCCCGAUCCCGAUCCCGAUCCCGAUCCCGAUCCGUGAGUGGAUCCCGAUCCCGCGGGGGGGCCGCGGCGCAGGGGGAUGUAGCCCCCGAUCCGGGCGGGAUCCCGCAGCCCCGGCACGAAGGGGAUCCCGGGGUUCUUGUAUACGGGGCGCUGGGAACCCCCCUGGGAUCCCGACCCCCCGUAGGAUCCCGAUCCCCCGUAAGGUCCCGAUCCCCCAUAAGAUCCCGAUCCGCCCCCAUAGGAUCCCGAUCCGCCCCCA